GGAAUAUUGGACAAUGGGUGAGAGCCUGAUCCAGCCAUCCCGCGUGAAGGAUGACGGUCCUAUGGAUUGUAAACUUCUUUUGUAUAGGAAUAAACCUUUCUACGUGUAGAAAGCUGAAGGUACUAUACGAAUAAGCACCGGCUAACUCCGUGCCAGCAGCCGCGGUAAUACGGAGGGUGCAAGCGUUAUCCGGAUUUAUUGGGUUUAAAGGGUCCGUAGGCGGACCGAUAAGUCAGUGGUGAAAUCUCAUAGCUUAACUAUGAAACUGCCAUUGAUACUGUCGGUCUUGAGUAAAUUAGAGGUAGCUGGAAUAAGUAGUGUAGCGGUGAAAUGCAUAGAUAUUACUUAGAACACCAAUUGCGAAGGCAGGUUACCAUGAUUUAACUGACGCUGAGGGACGAAAGCGUGGGUAGCGAACAGGAUUAGAUACCCUUG
rnacentral:rRNA from 1 species